GACGAACGCUGGCGGCGUGCUUAACACAUGCAAGUCGAACGGGCCCGCUCUCUUUUUUGGGGGUGGGUUGAGUGGCGAACGGGUGAGUAUCACGUGAGUAACCUGCCCCCUGCUCCUGGAUAACUGCUUGAAAGGGCGGCUAAUACGGGGUGUGCCGGCUGGUCCGCAUGGGCCUGGUCGGGAUAGUUUCAUCUUCGGGUGUUUCGGUGGGGGAUGGGCUCGCGGCCUAUCAGCUUGUUGGUGGGGUGAUGGCCCACCAAGGCGGUGACGGGUAGCCGGCAUGAGAGGGUGGGCGGCCACACUGGGACUGGGACACGGACCAGACUCCUGCGGGAGGCAGCAGUGGGGGGUAUUGAACAAUGGGCGGAAGCCUGAUGCAGCGACGUCGCGUGAGGGAUGGAGGCCUUCGGGUUGGGAACCUCUUUCUCCGGUGGUGAAGGCCCUGUCCGUUGCGGCGGGGUUGACGGUAGCCGGGUAUGAAGCGCCGGCUAACUACGUG
rnacentral:rRNA from 1 species